UCAAGGGUAAUGUUGUAAUUUCACAUAAAUAAUAUCUCUGCCAAAUACACUCUCAGUCGCAUCACUUUUCUCAUUCAAAAAAUUUCUCAAUUCUCUCCAUCCUUGAAAGCAGAGUUGAAAUUGUUCUCUCUGUAGCUAACCACCUCGAAUGUUCUGCCAACGCUACAACUCAUUUCAAAAUCAAAGAUGACUACUGCAAUAGCCAUUGAGGACGUGAGAAGGGAGGUGAAGAUAUUAAGAGGUUUGACAGGACAUAACCAUUUAGUAAAAUUUUAUGAUUCAUAUGAAAACCACAACAAUGUCUACAUAGUCAUGGAGUAAGCUUCGUCACUCUAACUCCCAUCACAUUUACAUUUGCAAUGGGGUUCAAUCUCAAACUUAGAUUAAGAGGAGGAUACUUUGUAUAACCAAAGUUUCAAGUAGCAUGGCAGUUUGUGUAUUUAUUCGUGCUUGUUGCUAUUAUCCUCUUUUUCAUCUAUUUUUGAGCCGAGGGUCUAUUGAAAACAGUUUAUCUACCUUCUCGAUGUAAGGGUAAGAUCUGCAUACACACUACCCUCCACAGACCCUAUUUGCUAGAUUAUAGUGGUUUUUUUGUUGUUGUUAUAACUGAAGUGAUACAAGAUUUCUUGACCUGUGUAAAAACCAACCGCUGGAAUAUGCCAUAACUGAAUAGAUUUAAGACUUCAACUGCAUAUGACAGUGAUCGGAAAGAGAAAGAAACACACAGCUUAAAUCAAAGAAUAAAGAAGAGAAAAUCAUGUAUAAUUGCCAACAACUGCAUAAUUGACGAGUAAAUGCUGAAGUCUUUGGAUGGAUCUAAUAUUUAACGCCGAGACUUUUCCAAUCCCCAGUAAUCUUAGUAUAAUUCUUUUGUCAUACAUUUAUAUACCAGGAUUUACUCUUUGUACUAGCUUUUCAAUGAUUCAACUAUCCUUGGCAUCUGAAUCUUGUCCAUGAAUUAUGUAGGGUAAGUUCAAUUAUCAUAUUGCUUUAUUGUAUAGCAACAUCACUUUUAUUUUGAGCUUGUUUUUUUUCUUCUUCAAAUUUUUCGUUUAUACUUCAUCCACAACAACAACAUACCCAAUGUAAUCCCACAGAGUGAUGUCUGCGGAGGGUAGAGUAUACGCAGUCCAUGCCACUACUUCAGAAGUAGUAGAGAGGCUGUUUCCGAUAGACCCCUGGCUCAGAACAAAAAUUAUAUAAAAAGACGUAAUAAGUACAAAAAAUAAGAUGGUAUGAAAAAACAUAAAGAGAGUAGUACUAUAAACUAUCUACAUCACCAAACAAGAAACUACAAGACACCUGCAAAGUACUAUGACUACUGGCCUGGCCACAAACAAAGCUUCCCUUCAUCCACAUGUUUUAAUAAUUAAUAUUUAUAUUUUUUUGAAAAUUGUAUUGAUUUGUUCGGAAGUACAUGAGUCCAAAUUGUGACCAGAAGGAGAAUGAAAAAGAUAGUUGGAAUAAAAAAGAAAGAGAAAUCUUAGUUUCCAAUUGAUGUAGAGACUUUUGCAAUCUCAAGUCUUUGCACUACAAUUCUUAGUUGUCUGCUUUUUUGGAAAAUCCAGUUACAUGUUUUCAUUUUUCUGCUAUUGAUGUUUCUUUGUACAAAGAGUUCAUCAUGGACUUAGUUUCUUGUUUUUUUUUCUUCAUUUUCUUUCAUUUGUGGUGCUUUGAUUCAGCAAAAGGACAGACCACAUCCCACUCAAACUGCACCGAGGAAUUCGACUGUCAAAUAUUAGGAAGUUACAGUUUUCCUUUCUAUAAAUCGAGUGAACCUGAUUGUAUCCUACUCCAAUUCCAGCAUCAUCAUCUGGUGCCCCUGCUCAGACUGUUUCUUCCGGUGAACAAACUUAUACAUCAUCUGGCGAGGCACAACAAAGCUAUCCUCCUGGAGUGCAAUCUCAGAAUAGUGCACCUUCUCCUUCGGUUCCUACUUAUGUGUAUGGAAAUUUUGUCACAUCUAAUGCUCUCCAUCAUCUGCGGAGAAUCUUGCUUAUGGUGCGGAUGCAGAAUAUGAGAAUUUCAUGUCAGAAAUGAAGUCAUGAUGCUAUUGCUGUAUCACCCUGCACUAUUAGGUUGUCUUCAUGCACUCAAUAAUGACAUGGCGGUCUGGGAUAAUUAAUAAAUAGUUCAGGAAAUGGAGGAUCCAACCUCAACCAUUUCCCUUCGGAUGUUGUAUUCUACGUGCUGGGUAGGCUUAUUGAAGCUCACAGACUAAUCUUGACUGCAUGGUCUCCUUUCGAAUAAAAAUUUCAGACUGACUGGAAGAAUAGAAUGGAAGUACGAUUCUCUAGAAAAAAGUUGGCUUAUCAUGCACUUUAUAGCCUCAUCCAUUUCUUUUAUUCCAGUAAACUUGAUACAGCAGUAGAUGACAUGGAAGAUCUUGUCAGAUCAACUUUAGACUUUUCAUUACGUGUCCUGUUUUGUGUGUCAAUAAAUGGAUCUCUGUUUUAAGUUAUCUGCUUGUAUAUCGACUUGAUAAGCCAUGUUUGUUAGCAUAACUUUUUAGAUAGCGAUAAUCUUUUUCUUCAGGGAACUGGGACAGGUCAUCCCGAGUUUACGGGGAAGCUACUUCAGAUUCUUGUGGACUCGGUAAUUAACCGAUGCAUGAAGACAAAAGUAGGAACAAUGGUAAGAAAGUUGAGAUAUCACCCUUUCUAACUCUUGCAGGUGAAUUAGGGAAUUCAAAGGAAGAACAAAUUGCCCAGGUAUGCUCUAUGUCAAAGUUGUAAAAUUGUUAUUUAAAUUUAUUGACAAUGAGACUUUAAAGGAGUUGCAACAAUUCAGAAUCCUAUAUCAUAGUGGCAUAGUAAAAUGGCAGGCUUGCAGGUGCGGAACUAACAAAUCUAUUAGAAGCUAAAAAUGACUUAGCGUCAAAGGUAAUUCGAUUGAACAAUGCGAGAACCGAAGGGUUUGAGCAUAGAGUAGGUUCAAAGACUACUCUUUCAUUUGGCAAUAGUAAUAUUUAGCAUCUUUGUGCAAGGAGGAAAGGUUGUUUUUGUCAUCCAUCUUGAGUGAAUGUGGUUUUAGUAAUGUAUAUAUGUCAGCCUGUGCAUUUCUUGGAUUACAUGGUGUAUAAUUCUUCACAUCAAGCACCGUUAAUUGUCACUGUUCCGCGCUCUGACAUGUUGUGUGCUAAGAUUGUUAAGUAUUAUUCAUUGAAACGAUUCGUGGAGGAAACUGGGAAGCCUCUUCAAGAAUGGGCCCCUGCUUAUGAUGGAGCUAAUUUUUGUUGCUCUUCUGGUUUUCAGGCUGUGAUGCUUGCUUUAGGCGUUUGCGAGAAAGCAUUUUUCGGUUCGAAAAAUCUGCUUCAGCUAUACGAAUCAGAGGGCUGAGCUGAAGUUACAUGACUAUGAUGCAGAGCAUGAUUUCUAGUUUUCUACCGUGAUUUGGUUGAGAGUCAGAGACAGCAGGUAAUACCAUUCAUCUCGGACAAGUUCAAGUUUCCGUCUAUUUCUAUAUACCAGUGACUUUUCCACUCAUCUAAAGUGAGAAAUUGAUAGAUUGUAUGCUAAGUGCAUCUAUUUCUGUAUCUUGUGUCAGUAUUCUUCCAUGGAUGAUACAAGGAGGAAAUGUUGUCAAAAUUGUAAUUAUAGGUUAUGCAGGUUGCUUGGGGUACAGGUCAAUUGUAUAAUUAAAUCACAAACAAUGAAUGAAAUCUUUGGUGUAUUUCUUCGUCA